rnacentral:lncRNA from 1 species
AUGAGAAAGUAUAAGCCUUCAAAGAGGAAGAUGUUCAGUCCCGGAAACCAAAUAUGCCCCUCCGCUACAAUGGAAGUGAUAUAUCUUCUACACCUUCUUCCAUUUAAGUCUGGCUGCCUCACCUUUGCUCCAGUCCCUCUGUUCCUGUCAUCUCAGGAAUCUCAUACUUGACAUUACCUACUGUCUCCUGAGUCUUCAACUUGUUAUUCUACUUGAGCUUUGUUAUCUCAGCUAAACUUGUCUCUUUCAUAGAAAGAAAGAAAGAAAGAAAGAAAGAAAGAAAGAAGAAAGAAAGAAAGAAAGAAAAGAGAAAAGAAAAGGAAAGAAGAGAAGAGAAGAGAAGAGAAAAGAAAAGAAAAGAAAAGAAAAGAAAAGAAAAGAAAAGAUUUCUCUCUAAAAAAGAAAUCUUCUGUUUUGUAAAUAAUGAUUUCACAUUUUCCUAACGAGCUCAUAUAAGGCUGCAAAACACUUCAGCGUUCAGCCAUGGUG